UACGGAGGGUGCGAGCGUUAUCCGGAAUUACUGGGUUUAAAGGGUGCGUAGGCGGCGCCGUAAGUCAGGAGUGAAAGUUUGCGGCUCAACCGUAAAAUUGCUUUUGAUACUGCGGUGCUGGAAUUAGGAUGAGGUCAGCGGAAUGUGGCAUGUAGCGGUGAAAUGCAUAGAUAUGCCAUAGAACACCAAUUGCGAAGGCAGCUGGCUAGACCUGGAUUGACGCUGAGGCACGAAAGCGUGGGGAGCGAACAGG
rnacentral:rRNA from 1 species